rnacentral:sRNA from 1 species
CUCGGGGCCUUGCUGGCCUCCUCGGUUCUCUGGGGGACCCCGGCCGCUGCCUGCGGCCUUCUUCCAGGCGAGGCCCUGCUCGGGGUUCUUCCGGCCUCCCCCCAGGCAAAACCCGCAAGGAGCGGUUUCUGGCGUGGCUGGGUCCCCUGCGGCCGAAGGGCGCCUCCCGGCCACGCUCGCUGUAGUGAAGGAGCGCGGCAGCCUGGGGCUCGUUUGGGUGAUUUCCCUCGGCGGUGGAGGUCGCUCCUAAUAGAGGCGGCGGCGGAUCACCCGAACAGCCUUCAGGAGACGUACUGUAAGACGAUAUUACUUUAAUCAUCUUCACAUCAGUAUUUAUGGAAUAGCCACAGGUGCCUCAUCCUUUAGUAGGAGUUAAUUAUAUAUUUACUGGCCGAGUAAACAUCUCCGAAUGUAUUUUUUUAGAUAAGGAAAUAAAACAUUUCCAAUAAAGCUGAAGUCUCAUCCCACCCAUCCGUUAUCAGUCACUCCAUGGAUUCCUUUGGGCAACCCAGACCAGAAGAUAAUCAGUCAGUAGUCAGCAGAAUGCAAAAGAAAUACUGGAAAACUAAACAGGUCUUUAUCAAAGCAACAGGAAAAAAAGAGGAUGAGCACUUGGUGGCGUCUGAUGCUGAACUGGAUGCUAAACUUGAGGUUUUUCACUCUGUUCAAGAGACAUGCACUGAACUUCUGAAGAUAAUCGAGAAAUACCAGCUAAGACUCAAUGGUAUGAAAUCAUAGUUAUCUAUCUGAUAAUUCCCAUUUAAAAUAAAUAUUAGCAUUUUUUAAAAUGAAAGAUUUAAUGUAAAAACAAUUUUGUGAAUAGCUUCUUAUGGCAAAAUAUGAAUAUUUACAGUUACCUGUUCUCAAAAGCCCCAGUAUUCUCUCUUCUUUCCUCAGUUAAUCAAAUCCUCUGACCCAGAUUUAUUUUUUGCUGAUAUUUUUUUUCUUUGAGACAGGGUCUUUCUCUGUCACCC